rnacentral:rRNA from 1 species
GAUGAACGCUGGCGGCGUGCCUAAUACAUGCAAGUCGAACGAGGUGCUUUUGUAGCAAUACGAGAGUAUCCUAGUGGCGAACGGGUGAGUAACGCGUUGGUGACCUACCCCAAAGUGUGGGAUAACAGUCCGAAAGGAUUGCUAAUACCGCAUGUGGUUAUUGGAUUUAGAAACUGAUAACUAAAGGAGCAAUUCGCUUUGGGAGGGACCUGCGUCCCAUCAGCUAGUUGGUGAGGUAAUGGCUCACCAAGGCUACGACGGGUAGGGGACCUGAGAGGGUGACCCCCCACAAUGGAACUGAAACACGGUCCAUACACCUACGGGUGGCAGCAGUAGGGAAUAUUGCACAAUGGGCGAAAGCCUGAUGCAGCAACGCCGCGUGCACGAUGAAGGCCUUCGGGUCGUAAAGUGCUUUUCUGGGAGAUGAGAAAGGACAGUAUCCCAGGAAUAAGUCUCGGCUAACUACGUGC